UCUUCAAUUUUUUUUUUCAAAUUUAUGGUUAGGAUGUGAAUAGAUACAGAUAUUCAAAAUUUUAUUCAAACCCAAAUUCGAACUAAGCUAAUUUAUUCGAUACUAAACGGAUAUAGUUUCAAAUUUUCACUGUACCCGAACACCGACCCAAACACAAAUUUAUUUUACAUUAUAAUAUAUAUGUAUAUAAAAAUUUGAUCUUAUAUUUGAAUUUAUAUUUUAAAAUUUUAAAUUUAAUAUAAUAUAUUUUGAAAUAUUGAAAAGAGAA
rnacentral:lncRNA from 1 species